rnacentral:sRNA from 1 species
GCCGGAUAUGGUGGUGCACACCUGUAAUCCCAGCAGCUUGGGAGGCUGAGGCAGGAGGACCUCGAGUUCAACAGUGAAGCCCUCAGCAAUUUAAUGAGACCCUGUCUCUU